UGAACCGCAUGGUUCAAGGAUGAAAGACGGUUUCGGCUGUCACUUACAGAUGGACCCGCGGCGCAUUAGCUAGUUGGUGAGGUAACGGCUCACCAAGGCGACGAUGCGUAGCCGACCUGAGAGGGUGAUCGGCCACACUGGGACUGAGACACGGCCCAGACUCCUACGGGAGGCAGCAGUAGGGAAUCUUCCGCAAUGGACGAAAGUCUGACGGAGCAACGCCGCGUGAGUGAUGAAGGUUUUCGGAUCGUAAAGCUCUGUUGUUAGGGAAGAACAAGUGCAAGAGUAACUGCUUGCACCUUGACGGUACCUAACCAGAAAGCCACGGCUAACUACGUGCCAGCAGCCGCGGUAAUACGUAGGUGGCAAGCGUUGUCCGGAAUUAUUGGGCGUAAAGGGCUCGCAGGCGGUUUCUUAAGUCUGAUGUGAAAGCCCCCGGCUCAACCGGGGAGGGUCAUUGGAAACUGGGAAACUUGAGUGCAGAAGAGGAGAGUGGAAUUCCACGUGUAGCGGUGAAAUGCGUAGAGAUGUGGAGGAACACCAGUGGCGAAGGCGACUCUCUGGUCUGUAACUGACGCUGAGGAGCGAAAGCGUGGGGAGCGAACAGGAUUAGAUACCCUGGUAGUCCACGCCGUAAACGAUGAGUGCUAAGUGUUAGGGGGUUUCCGCCCCUUAGUGCUGCAGCUAACGCAUUAAGCACUCCGCCUGGGGAGUACGGUCGCAAGACUGAAACUCAAAGGAAUUGACGGGGGCCCGCACAAGCGGUGGAGCAUGUGGUUUAAUUCGAAGCAACGCGAAGAACCUUACCAGGUCUUGACAUCCUCUGACAACCCUAGAGAUAGGGCUUUCCCUUCGGGGACAGAGUGACAGGUGGUGCAUGGUUGUCGUCAGCUCGUGUCGUGAGAUGUUGGGUUAAGUCCCGCAACGAGCGCAACCCUUGAUCUUAGUUGCCAGCAUUCAGUUGGGCACUCUAAGGUGACUGCCGGUGACAAACCGGAGGAAGGUGGGGAUGACGUCAAAUCAUCAUGCCCCUUAUGACCUGGGCUACACACGUGCUACAAUGGACAGAACAAAGGGCUGCGAGACCGCAAGGUUUAGCCAAUCCCACAAAUCUGUUCUCAGUUCGGAUC
rnacentral:rRNA from 2 species